GACGAACGCUGGCGGCGUGCUUAACACAUGCAAGUCGAACGGAAAGGCCCUGCUUUUGUGGGGUGCUCGAGUGGCGAACGGGUGAGUAACACGUGAGUAACCUUCCCUUUACUUUGGGAUAACUUCAGGAAACUGGGGCUAAUACCGGCUAGGAGCUCCUGCUGCAUGGUGGGGGUUGGAAAGUUUCGGCGGUUGGGGAUGGACGCGCGGCUUAUCAGCUUGUUGGUGGGGUAGUGGCUUACCAAGGCUUUGACGGGUAGCCGGCAUGAGAGGGUGAACGGCCACAUUGGGACUGAGAGACGGCGCAGACUCCUACGGGAGGCAGCAGUCGGGAAUAUUGUACAAUGGUCGGAAGCGUGAUGCAGAAGCGCUGCGUGCGGGAUGACGGCCUUCGGGUGGUAAACCGCUGUCGCCUGAGACGAGGCGGGAGUGACGGUAAUGGGUAAAGAAGCACCGGCUAACUACGUG
rnacentral:rRNA from 1 species